rnacentral:rRNA from 1 species
UACGGGGGGGGUAAGCGUUGUUCGGAAUUACUGGGCGUAAAGGGCUCGUAGGCGGCCAACUAAGUCAGACGUGAAAUCCCUCAGCUUAACUGGGGAACUGCGUCUGAUACUGGAUGGCUUGGAUCCGGAAGAGGGAUGCGGAAUUCCAGGUGUAGCGGUGAAAUGCGUAGAUAUCUGGAGGAACACCGGUGGCGAAGGCGGUUCUCUGGGCAUGAUCUGACGCUGAGGAGCGAAAGUGUGGGGAGCGAACAGG